UACGUAGGGGGCUAGCGUUGUCCGGAAUCAUUGGGCGUAAAGCGCGCGUAGGCGGCCCGGUAAGUCCGCUGUGAAAGUCAAAGGCUCAACCUUUGAAUGUCAGCGGAUACUGCCGGGCUAGAGUCCGGAAGAGGCGAGUGGAACUCCUGGUGUAGCGGUGGAAUGCGCAGAUAUCAGGAAGAACACCAACGGCGAAGGCAGCUCGCUGGGACGGAACUGACGCUAAGGCGCGAAGGCUAGGGGAGCGAACGGG
rnacentral:rRNA from 1 species